rnacentral:rRNA from 1 species
UGGGGAAUAUUGCACAAUGGAGGGAACUCUGAUGCAGCGACGCCGCGUGAGUGAUGAAGGAAUUCGUUUCGUAAAACUCUGUUCUAUGGGAAGAAAAGGACUGUACCAUAGGAGAAAGCUCCGGCUAAAUACGUGCCAGCAGCCGCGGUAAUACGUAUGGAGCGAGCGUUGUCCGGAAUUAUUGGGGGUAAAGGGUGCGCAGGCGGCAUUACAAGUUGGAUGUGAAAUAUUGUGGCUCACCCACAAACGUGCAUCCAAAACUGCAAAGGUUGAGUUAAGGGGUGAUAAGUGGAAUUCCUGGUGUAGAGGGGGAAUGCGUAGAUAUCAGACGGAAUACCGGGAGCGAAGGCGACUUACUGGACUUAAACAGACGCUCAGGCACGAAAGCGUGGGGAGCAAACAGG